GAUGAACGCUGGCGGCGUGCCUAAUACAUGCAAGUCGAGCGAACGGACGAGAAGCUUGCUUCUCUGAUGUUAGCGGCGGACGGGUGAGUAACACGUGGAUAACCUACCUAUAAGACUGGGAUAACUUCGGGAAACCGGAGCUAAUACCGGAUGAUAUUUUGAACCGCAUGGUUCAAAAGUGAAAGACGGUCUUGCUGUCACUUAUAGAUGGAUCCGCGCUGCAUUAGCUAGUUGGUAAGGUAACGGCUUACCAAGGCAACGAUGCAUAGCCGACCUGAGAGGGUGAUCGGCCACACUGGAACUGAGACACGGUCCAGACUCCCACGGGAGGCAGCAGUAGGGAAUCUUCCGCAAAGGGCGAAAGCCUGACGGAGCAACGCCGCGUGAGUGAUGAAGGUCUUCGGAUCGUAAAACUCUGUUAUUAGGGAAGAACAUAUGUGUAAGUAACUGUGCACAUCUUGACGGUACCUAAUCAGAAAGCCACGGCUAACUACGUG
rnacentral:rRNA from 1 species